AGAGCGAACGCUGGCGGCAGGCCUAACACAUGCAAGUCGAGCGCCCCGCAAGGGGAGCGGCAGACGGGAGAGUAACACGUGGGAACGUACCCUUCAGUUCGGAACAACCCAGGGAAACUUGGGCUAAUACCGAAUACGUCCGUAAGGAGAAAGAUUUAUCGCUGAAGGAUCGGCCCGCGUCUGAUUAGCUUGUUGGUGAGGUAACGGCUCACCAAGGCGACGAUCAGUAGCUGGUCUGAGAGGAUGAUCAGCCUCACUGGGACUGAGACACGGCCCAGACUCCUACGGGAGGCAGCAGUGGGGAAUAUUGGACAAUGGGCGCAAGCCUGAUCCAGCCAUGCCGCGUGGGUGAUGAAGGCCCUAGGGUUGUAAAGCCCUUUCGGCGGGGAAGAUAAUGACGGUACCGCAGAAGACGCCCGGCUAACUUCGUGCCAGCAGCCGC
rnacentral:rRNA from 1 species